rnacentral:rRNA from 1 species
GCGAGCUGAUCAUCAUUCCGCGUGCAGGACGAAGGCCUUCGGGUUGUAAACUGCUUUUGUACGGAACGAAAAGCUCCGGGUUAAUACCCCGGGGUCAUGACGGUACCGUAAGAAUAAGCACCGGCUAACUACGUGCCAGCAGCCGCGGUAAUACGUAGGGUGCGAGCGUUAAUCGGAAUUACUGGGCGUAAAGCGUGCGCAGGCGGUUAUACAAGACAGGCGUGAAAUCCCCGGGCUUAACCUGGGAAUGGCGCCUGUGACUGUAUGGCUAGAGUGUGUCAGAGGGGGGUAGAAUUCCACGUGUAGCAGUGAGAUGCGUAGAUAUCUGGAGGAAUACCAAUGGCGAAGGCAGCCCCCUGGGAUAACACUGACGCUCAUGCACGAAAGCGUGGGGAGCAAACAGGAUUAGAUACCCUGGUAGUCCACGCCCUAAACGAUGCUGACUAGUUGUUCGGGAUUUACAUCCUGAGUAACGUAGCUAACGCGUGAAGUCAGCCGCCUGGGGAGUACGGUCGCAAGAUUAAAACUCAAAGGAAUUGACGGGGACCCGCACAAGCGGUGGAUGAUGUGGAUUAAUUCGAUGCAACGCGAA